CAGUAGCCGCGGUAAAACGAAGGGUGCAAGCGUUACUCGGAAUUACUGGGCGUAAAGCGUGCGUAGGUGGUGGUUUAAGUCCGUUGUGAAAGCCCUGGGCUCAACCUGGGAAUUGCAGUGGAUACUGGGUCACUAGAGUGUGGUAGAGGAUAGUGGAAUUUCCGGUGUAGCAGUGAAAUGCGUAGAGAUCGGAAGGAACAUCUGUGGCGAAGGCGACUAUCUGGGCCAACACUGACACUGAGGCACGAAAGCGUGGGGAGCAAACAGGAUUAGACCCCCGUAGUCCCUGUCUCUUAUACAC
rnacentral:rRNA from 1 species